GGGGGGAGACGGGACGGGGGCCGGGGGUUGGAGGGGCCAUGGGGGGCGGCGCCGGGUGCUUGUGCGGAGGACCUCAUCGCCAGCAGCGCCAGCGCCACCAUGAGGAAAGAGAAGCGAGCGCCGGCGACCGUCAUCUCAGCCUAAGAGAGCGAUCUUAGCGAUCGCGCGAGAGAGAUGAGGGUUUGGGUUUAGUUGGAGAAGAACAGGGAAGGGUAGGAGGAUAUAUAAAGGAAGAGGUGGGAGAGAAAAGUACUGUAGAGAAAGAAAAGAGUAUUUUUUAACUAAAAGAAUAUAUUAUUAUAUUAAAAUUAGAAAAAUACAAUUAAAAAAAAGGCAAGGACAACUAGGAGCCUAAGAGGAC
rnacentral:lncRNA from 1 species